GCGUUGCUGAUUACAUACAUUUACCAGGAUGGACUGUAGAAAAACCAUGGGUUUGUGCUCAGUGCUCCCGAGCAUACAAGUGGCAUCGAUCUUUAGCCAGCCAUCAAAGAACUGAGUGUGGGAGGGAGCCUCAAAUCAGCUGUGGAUUGUGUGGCUAUUCAACCAAAGUCAAAUCAAAUCUAAAUAGACAUAUGAGGAAAUAUCACCAAUUUUAAAAACCUUAUUUCAUCCCCGGUCCGGUUUGGAUGGUCGUGGACUGGAUGCUGUCACAUGUCCAACACCAGGCUGUAACCGCAAAUACUACUGGAAAAAUUCUCUUGCGCGUCAUCUUCGGGAGGAAUGCGGUCUGGAACCAAGAUUCCAAUGCCCCCAGUGCCCAUACCGAACAAAACAGAAAGCCCCUAUGUUACGCCAUAUAAGGAUAAAACACAAAGAUCCUUUUUCUGAACCUUGUUUCGUCGCUCAAUAAUGAAACAAACAGGGCAAUUCUUCUUAUUGUUAAUUAAUCUGUCUGUAUGGCUUGAAGUUCUGUUCUGUUACAAAUUCUGUAUUGCUAUGAAAUAAAUAUUUUCCAAACA